rnacentral:rRNA from 1 species
GACGAACGCUGGCGGCGUGCUUAACACAUGCAAGUCGAACGGAAAGGCCCUGCUUUUGUGGGGUGCUCGAGUGGCGAACGGGUGCGUAACACGUGAGUAACCUGCCCUUGACUUUGGGAUAACUUCAGGAAACUGGGGCUAAUACCGGAUAGGAGCUCCUGCUUCAGGGUGGGGGUUGGUAAGUUUCGGCGGUUGGGGAUGGACUCGCGGCUUAUCAGUUUGUUGGUGGGGUAGUGGCUUACCAAGGCUUUGACGGGUAGCCGGCCUGAGAGGGGGACCGGCCACAUUGGGACUGAGAUACGGCCCGGACUCCUACGGGAGGCAGCAGUGGGGAAUAUUGCACAAUGGGCGGAAGCCUGAUGCAGCAACGCCGCGUGCGGGAUGACGGCCUUCGGGUUGUAAACCGCUUUCGCCUGUGACGAAGCGUGAGUGACGGUAAUGUGUAAAGAAGCACCGGCUAACUACGUG